UCCUCCUGUAGCCCCACCAUCCACCGUGGGGAACGGUGGAGAGACUACAACUCCCAGUAUGCACCGCGAUGCGCGCCUCACCCUGCAUCUCCCAGCCCGCAGCCAGCUGGCAUCCUAGACCCUCUGCCCUGCGACCAACAGCCGGGAGCGGACCAGACACCAGAACUCCCGGAACGGUUGAAGACGGUUCCGCUCCCUGUCCCGCCUUUCGCAGCCCAGCAGUUUCGCCCUGCGGAGAGGAGCCUUGCUGUUUCCAAAUCUCUCCUGCUGAAGAGACAUUGGAGCUAGGGCGGCUAGUUUCACCUGGUAAUUGUGACACCCUGUCUCCUCGAGCUGCAGGCUUUUAUGCUUGUCAUGUUCGAAGUUUGAUACCUUGCAGAUCAACAAAGGGUCGGUGGCCUCUCACUGCCUCCGCGGCAGGGUUGUCAAGACAUGCGCAGUGCGGCCCGUCCCUAGGGCUGGGUUAAGGGCCGCGGAUGUGGCAGUUCUCAGGCCUCUUGGGAUCGCCUCAAGAAGCCCCCUCACGAGUGUCUCGAUUUCCUGUCAGCCAACAAAGGGCCGUUCGCCUUUCAUGGCCUCCACAGCAGCGUUGCCGUGGCUGUCACAAAUUCUCUGCACCCCAGGAGUGCCGCUUGGACCCCCGGGCUCGCUGCGUGGUCCAUAUCUAGGUCGGGCCUCUCACGGAGACUUUCCCACCAGUGUAAUAAAGAGGAGAAAACGUCACAGCGGAAGGGCCUGACCCUGCUGCAUCCACUAAGGAAACAGCUACGGGGAUGGGACCCUGGAAGCUGCUGUGGGAGCCUCAUCCACCGCUUCUCUGACCCCACCCAGGCUGCUUCCCAGGCCUCAGGGUCUUAGUGUGGACCUCCGGGCCGUGAUUAAUGCAGUUUUUCAGGUUAAGUACUGCACGACUACUCGCUUCUGAAACUGAUAGACACUGCCUCAGCUCCGUGCAGGGCAGACGCACAAGAGCAGAAUCUCCGUGGGACAUCUCUCUGGAGCAUCAAUAUUACUGCAGUAUUUGGAAGAAACAAAUUUAAAUAAGUUCUAAGGUAAAGAAUGGAACAUUUAAGACAAGUCUGGAAAGUCAUCUGCCUUUAAUAACUGUCGUUUGUCCUUAACGUCAGACUUUCUCCAAGACAAAAACUCUAAGAACUUAUUUCCAUUCUUACAAAUAGUAAAAAUGAUAAAUCAUAUCAAGUCAAUUGAAAGUCCUGCCUGCUGCUUUCCUAAAUCACAAUAUGGCCUUGGUAUGGUUUUAUUUGUACUUUUGUGGGGGAUUCGUGGAUCUUUAGAUUAAAAAAAAAAAUAGGUUUUUGAACAAUUUUUGCAAGUUUGCAGCUGUUAGUUAUUGAUUUAUUUUUGCAACCCAUCUAAUUCUUCUGUCUCUCUCCUCUCCUCAGGCUCAAUAAUUCCAUGGGUCUCUAAGGCUGUGUUUAUUUUCUUUAAAUUUUGUUGAUUUACUUUUAUACUCCAUUUGAUUUUUUCUAUCUCUCACCUUUUCUCAGACUCAGUCAUCCCACAGGUCUGUAAGGCUCUGUUCAUUUUCUUUAAACUUUUUUUUUUCCUCUCCUCAGAUUGGAUAAAUUAUAUUGCUAUGUCUCUGUUUCUGAACUAUAGAAAAGCUCAAAAUUACUAUUUUUAUUUCUCAUUUUUUAUAUGGCUAUUUUUUCUCUGCUGAUGUUUCACAUCUAUUCAUUUAUGAGAAUAUUUUCCUUUGCCCUCAUGAGCGUGUUUAUAAUAGCUGCCUUCAAAUUCUUGUCUGCCGUUUACAUCUUGGACAUCUUGGAGAUGGCUACUGCCUGCUUUUUAUCUUGUGUAUUUAUUACAUUUUCACGUGUCUUCACGCAUCUCUUGAAUUGGAAAUUGUGCCCUGGAGACUGUAUACAAGACUGGAUUAAAAAGACUGGAUUCUGUUUUGUCCC